UACGUAGGGGCUAGCGUUAUCCGGAAUUACUGGGCGUAAAGGGUGCGUAGGUGGUUUCUUAAGUCAGUGGUGAAUGGCUACGGCUCAACCGUAGUAAGCCUUUGAAACUGGGAAACUUGAGUGCAGGAGAGGAGAGUGGAAUUCCUAGUGUAGCGGUGAAAUGCGUAGAUAUUAGGAGGAACACCAGUUGCGAAGGCGGCUCUCUGGACUGUAACUGACACUGAGGCACGAAAGCGUGGGGAGCAAACAGGAUUAGAUACCCUGGUAGUCCCUGA
rnacentral:rRNA from 1 species